GUCCUUGAUUAGCACUGUGACUUGUUUGUUCUAGUGAAGUAUUCGCCUUGCCUAGAGAUUUUGCCUUGUCCUUCCAGAUAAGAGUGUAUCAGCUUGAGAGUGCAAGAGGGGAGAUGGAGCAAGAUGGAAGAAUAGAAGAAGACUCUACUGCUUGUCCCCCUGACAAGGACACCAAUGGCACAAAAAAGCACCUUUGUGAGAAACAAAAAUCAGUUUAACAUCUGGAAGGGAUGAAGAGAAGUCAGCUUUGUGGCGAUCAACAAUGUCCACACUACUGGCAACCAAUGCUCAGCUCAACUGAUUAUAUUAAAAAACUCACUGAGCUGAUACCCUGUGAUUAUCACUCUAGGACAUGGA
rnacentral:lncRNA from 1 species